UACGUAGGGGGCAAGCGUUGUUCGGAAUUACUGGGCGUAAAGGGCGCGUAGGCGGCACGGCAAGUCGGGAGUGAAAGCCCGGGGCUCAACCCCGGAGGGUCUUCCGAAACUGCCGAGCUAGAGUGCGGAAGAGGCAAUCGGAAUUCCCAGUGUAGCGGUGAAAUGCGUAGAUAUUGGGAAGAACACCGGUGGCGAAGGCGGCCAUCUGGACCGUAUCUGACGCUGAGGCGCGAAAGCGUGGGGAGCAAACAGG
rnacentral:rRNA from 1 species